GGCAUCCUGACGUCAAUUUGACAUCAACAAGUAGUCAAGAUUUUGACCAACAUGUAUGACGUGCAUAAAUAUGCAUAAUUUCAUUAUAUUUUGUAAUGAUUUCCUUGUGGUUGUAAAGAGGCCCAACAAAGGUAUCAAUCUAACAUGUUUUUUCUGGUCCCUACAUCUCAGGUCUAUAUUAUUGACAUUAAAUCAACGUUGAUUUGAUGUCAGGAAAUAAGACGUCAAAUUGAUGUGAAAUUUAUGUCAAAACAACGUCUGUUAAAAUGUCUGAAAAGGUAUAUUAUUAGCCUACUCAUUGUAAAUCGACGCGAGUUUUUCAACAUCCUGACCCACACAGAAGAGGGUUCCAAAACGGACCCUCUGCGGCGGACUCUGUGCGGAUACGCACAUCGAACGCGCCCUUUCCAGUCCUAACGGCUCCUUCAGUUUUCAAAUUUCUCGUUGAUGAAGUGGAAGACGAAACAGCGGCGUCUGAAGGCUCACUGUCAUUCACAAGUGGCUCCAGUCUGGUUUGGGGGUUCUGCCAUCCAAGUAAAGUUAUUCACAAGUGGCUCCAGUCUGGUUUGGGGGUCUACGCUUUCUCAUCCUGUCCUGCC